rnacentral:lncRNA from 1 species
UGAAAAAAACCCAGAAGGAUAUUAAUCAGACAAGACAUGAGUAACCUGAAGAAGAGCACUCUUUGUACUGACAAAGUGGAAAUGGCAUCUAUCCAAACAAACUGGCUCAAUGAGCCUUGGCUUUGAUGACCUUCUGCCUUGUUGGCCUUCUGGUUUAAUUGUGACCAAGGAACUGAGAAGAAAAUAGAGAGUAAAGGAGCCAUUUGGUCCACCUUUACAUCUGCCUGGGGCUUUGAUGACAGCCAUCAGCAGGUGCAGCAAGGGCAGCUGCAGAUGAGAUUCCUUCACAAGAGCAAGCGUGAGAUGAAAGAUGUUAUUUAGCAGGAAAAAGAGAUUAAUUUGUCUUGAUUUCUACUUAUGUGCUGACGAUCACCACUGACAUACUCAAAAUGGAUUUUUUGCAUCCUGUGAGUCGGUGGUGCUGGCUCAGCCUGGUAGGUAGACUUCAAAAUACCCCUGCCCCAUUUGCAAAUGCUUAAGAAAUUUGAUGAAUUUUAGUGCAUACAUGGUGAAGUUUCCAAUGAGUUAGAAGUCAACAUGAUAUUUUAAAAAAAUUUCACUGCUUUGGAGAACAUCAGACUUUGGUUCAUCCUGAGACACUCAUUUGCCUUAAACUAUGCUCUACAGCAAAAUGUGCAUGAAAUUGUCUGCACUUCGGUAAGUGUUGCCUUUGCUGACUGUAAUUCAGCUUCCAAAUGAAAGUUUUGACUGUCCUC